rnacentral:misc_RNA from 1 species
UACGGAGGAUCCAAGCGUUAUCCGGAAUCAUUGGGUUUAAAGGGUCCGUAGGUGGACGGUUAAGUCAGAGGUGAAAUCCUGCAGCUCAACUGUAGAAUUGCCUUUGAUACUGGUCGUCUUGAGUCAUUGUGAAGUAGUUAGAAUAUGUAGUGUAGCGGUGAAAUGCAUAGAUAUUACAUAGAAUACCGAUUGCGAAGGCAGAUUACUAACAAUGUACUGACACUGAUGGACGAAAGCGUGGGGAGCGAACAGG